CAGCCGCCGCGGGAAUACGUAGGUGGCAAGCGUUGUCCGGAAUUAUUGGGCGUAAAGGGCUCGCAGGCGGUUUCUUAAGCCUGAUGUGAAAGCCCCCGGCUCAACCGGGGAGGGUCAUUGGAAACUGGGAAACUUGAGUGCAGAAGAGGAGAGUGGAAUUCCACGUGUAGCGGUGAAAUGCGUAGAGAUGUGGAGGAACACCAGUGGCGAAGGCGACUCUCUGGUCUGUAACUGACGCUGAGGAGCGAAAGCGUGGGGAGCGAACAGGAUUAGAUACCCCGGUAGUCCCUGUCUCUUAUAU
rnacentral:rRNA from 1 species